AUGUGGGCUCAGGAGUGGAGAAUGAUGACACAUGUGCAACACAUGCACCAGACUCAAUCUGAUCCAACUUGCUUGUUUUACAGAAGGAAAAACAGCACUCCAAAAUGGAAGAUUGUGUGCCCAAAAUCGCUUUGCAGAAUUGCAGAGCACUGACUAACCACUACUUGACACCUACCAUGAGAGGAGCUACUGAGUAGGGAAGAGAGAAGGAAGACACGCUGCUGACAUACAAUAGUAGACCCAACAGCCAGGCCCCAGGAAGUUCCCCAGGAACGUGCCAUAUUGGGCAGGAAAGAAGAAGUGAGUACCUUGUAAAGAAGAGCAGGUCACUGAUGCUGGAAGAAAACAGUCUUUAUUUAUUCCACAAACAUACUAACAGCUGCCAUUUGUUUAAUUAACACUUACUAUGUGCUGAACACUUUAUAUUUAUUCUCUCUACCAACUCUUUUCCAACAACCACAACAGAUGGAGAAACUAAGAUUCAGAAAAAUGAAAUGGCCUUGCCAAAAUUACAUAGUUAUUAAGUGGCAGAAGCUUCACUUAGUUCCAAGAUAGAUGGAUCCCAAAGUCAUGCAUGCACUUUCAUCUCAUGUACCAGCUCAAUGCUGUGUACAAAAAGACUGGAAGAUGUGGUUCAUCUCCCAGAGUUAUUAUUAAUUAGAAAGAGGAGCUGAUGUCUAGCAACAUUUCACUGUAUGCAAUGUAUAGAAUCAGCUCUUGUAGCAUUUGGAAAGGGCUAGAAAAAUCCAUUUGUGCCAAAACAUAUUGGGCUGGGAUAAACUGAAGAGAUGAGGGGAUUGAGGAUAUUUUAUCAAUUGGUUAAUACUAAGUAACAAGUCAUACUUCAGUACAUUAAUUAAAACAAUAACCACUUAUUCUUGCUCACAGGUCUGCAGGUCACCCAGGCAUUGCCUCAUGUCAACUGGGCUCAUCUAGGUAGCUCUAUCUCAG
rnacentral:lncRNA from 13 species